CAAAGACAGAUGUCUGGGGCUCUUUGGGUUCAUGGAUUAUUGACAAGUAACCCUCUUCCCCAUUUCCUUGGGGUGCUGAGUCCUGUGUUGAGCUAGCACUUUGGCCAAAGGAAGUUUGCAAGAGACUGGUAUUUCAUCAGCUCCUCGAGCAGAAUGACUCACCUGUUACUAAAUGGACACUCACAAAGCCAGGAAAGCUCCAGGAAGUCUGGGAUCUGCAGUUCAAGGCCACCACAUCACCGGCCCCCCGUGGGAGUGAGUGGGACCCAGGAGAUGGGUCUGAAGGAGGAAGAAGGGCAGCUGGAAGAGACAGAGCCCCUUUCCAACAGGGCCAGAGGGAGGUCACCUUGGAGACCCCUGGAUGGUACCAUUUGCCUUCUCACUUUUGAAAUGUGGAGCUCCAAGGAGAAUCCCAGGGUAGGAGAGAAAAAGUGAUCCGUGCUGCAUGAGUUGCUUCCUGGUCUUCAGGUGCUGAAGAAUGUGUGGACAUUUCCUAGUUUAAUAGGAUUUUCUUUUUUCUAAUUGCAAUAAUUCUGUGGGAAUUCCUCGGCAAAUUCUGAAAUGAGAAAACUGAGACCUGUGUAGGUCAAUUGACUGACCCAAGAUUCCACAGUUUGUGGCUCACAUUGAAUUGCAGCUCCAGUCUUUUGACCAACAGGGAACUGGUGGUGAUUUUAAAGGAGAAAUAAGAUAUGGAGAAGAAGACUCCAUGGGUUGGAUGAGCCUAGCUAUCAUUCUAUUUUAAAAUAACCAAAAAUGAGCAACUCUUUCUAGCAACACUGUAAUCUUCCAAGAUGCAUUUAUGGAAAAUUCUCCAUGAGGUGAGCAGGCCUCCUCCACCGAGUGCUCCUGCUAUGCUGUACUCUGCUGCCACAGGCGAAGCAAAAGGACCAAGUAUGCAUGGACUGAAACUAGGAGUUAAGAUGAGUCUUCCCUCCUGUUAAAUCGAUUAUCUCAGCCUUUCAGGCAUGAAAUGGAAUGAAGAAAGUUGGCCUAUGACUUUGAAGAGCUCCAGUCUGCUUGAGUGAGUGCAUCUCUGACUCCUGUGACAUCAGUCUUCAGCUUCUUCAGCCUUCUCCAGCACACUCAUACUAGCAACAUUCCAGUGAGGCUCCUGGCCUUCAAUCUUGGACUGGUGUUGCAUCUUUGAUCCCUUUUGUUGUGUGGCUUCCAUCUUGAUUUGAGCAGCUUCUGGAUCCUCCAUCUCUCCAGCAUGUAGAUAGCCAUUGGGGACUCUCCUGCCACUGAUCCUAUAAGCCUACCUGAUAAUACCCUUUGUAUAAUUGCACAUAUAUUUUCUAUUUAUUUUCUUCCUCUAGAGAACCCCUCUCAAUACAGAUGCCAAAAUAAGCAUUAUACAUUAGUAAUUUAAAUAAUAUUCCAGAAGAGACUAGGUAUAUUGAAAAAGGGAGCAGUAGAACACGGUAGUAGGGGAGAAAAAAAGACAGAGGAUCAUCUGGCAAAGCCUAAUUGAAAUGGGAUAGCUUAAGCAAAGAAGCAAGGGAAUGAGCUCAGCAUAUAUCCAGAAGAGAGGUAUCCAGGAAGAGGUAAGAGCUACAGCCAACGUGUAACUGAGAAUAACAAGGGACCAUUAGGGUGGGCCAAGGGGAAGGGAGAGAGCUCUAGUGGGAGCCAAUUCAAGUAGGGCUUAGUGGCCAAAUAUGGACUUUGACUUCUCACUGGAAGCUAGGGAGGCAUUGGAAUGCAUUGGGCAGAAGAGUGACAUGAUUUAACUUAAGUCUUGAAAGGGUCGUGAGUUUUGCAUAAACUUUUGGUGGCCUAUCUAGGACCCAUGAAGAAUCUAUAAUCCUGUCCAGUAACAGGAGAGGUAGUGAGCAGUGAUUAGAUCCUAGGUAGCCAAGAGCUUUUUUGACAUUAGAUAUAUGAUGUGAUAUGUUUUAUUUAUAAAAUCAACUUAUAGUUUGAUGAAAAUUUUCCAACUCAAACUAUUGAAGGACUUGGGAGAAUUAAGCUAGAAUUUUCAGCUUUCUGAUGAAAGGGUCUCAUUGUAGCCAAUGGAAUUUUACAUUUCAUUCAUUUACACAUUGACAUUCACUCAUGGUUGUGAGUGGCACAGACUUCCUAAUAUGCAAUCUAAAAUCAGAGCUGAAGACUUCAACCAAACACACUGACCUUCUGUCUCCAUUGAACUGGAGCCCAUUCUUAGCAGUUUUUGGACCCAGUUCAGCCCUGAAUUGUCACGUCCAAAUUAAACACAGGCAAGAGUUUCCAUUUGUACAUAUUAUUCAGGUAUAGCAAUGAUUAGGAAGAAUACCGACCUAGAGAUAAUUUUGAAGUAUGUUAUUUUUUCUGCUAACAAGGGUAUAUGCUUACUAACAAAGAGACUUGGUUGUUACAGAAAUAUAUGGAGAUGGCCCACAAUUUGCAGUAAUUUGACCUGUGACUUUUUGACUGAGUAGUGGGGCAAAAGCUAAAGGCAUUUAGUGGAAAUUGAGCCUUGAAUUUGAAUUUCAAUCUUUUUUCUGACUAGCAAUACUCUUUCACCAUACUGGGUAGCGUCUUUGGGCACAGAGCUGAGCCUACAGUAGACUGUUUCUAGGCCAUGGUGUUCGGUAGGUUAGGAGCACUCAGUACUUUUCAACUUAGAUAUGUUCGACUCCUGAUGGGUGUAUCAGGAUGUUACCCUGCCACAGUUUGAGGAGCCUCUGAAAUGUGGAACUGACUCCUCUCCUGUCAUCUUGCCCAGUAGUUUGUGGAAGAGGCCUUGAGGCUGUGGAGAGAAAUCCACCUUACUGGAAUGUUCCUACCUGCAGAUGUUUCAGAAACUCUGCUGAGGUUUAAUCAUGGGGCCACUGGGAUGCUCCAGCCCCAUUCAGACUGAUUCAUUUGGGCUUUAGCCCAGCUGCCAUUCUGCAGCUCAACCACUGCCAGGCAAGCCAGGCAAGCCAGACUCAGCAAGGUUUCUCGCUUUGGACAGGGAGGAGCUCAGCAAGGCUCACUGUGAUUGAUUGCUGCUGCCUCUUCUUAGGCCCACAGCCUCUCCACCCUGACCUGGAGGAUUUGAUGACCUUCAGAAUUCAGAGCAUAUUGAUCUACUUCAUAGGCAACAAAUGCUGAAGCCCUGUCUGCUAAUGUGACUUCAGAAGGUUGAAUAUGGAUUUGGAAAGAAUUACCAGCUGCUCACAAAUGUUUUAUAAAUGAUCUGAAACGCAGACACAGAGAAGAAAGACGCUCAGGGUGGAGAAGAAGAAAACUCCCACCCCACAAGCCCGCUGUAAAGAUAAUGCCUAAUUUGUAAGUUUCUCUUCUGCUGGUUGUACUGUGGGUCCCCAAGUGAAAAAAAUGCUUGUCCAAGAUCUUGUGUCAAAGCAGCUGUGUCACCUGAUACAGCAAUACAAUGUUCUGCUGGUUCUUCUCCAACUCAUGAUUAAAGGGCAAGGGAAUGACCAUUUCUUUUCAGUUCUGUCCAGUCCUAAGGACUCUCAGCAUUUGCUAAACGGUCUAGGCCAGUUUCACACCCUUGACAUAAAAGAGCCUUUGAAUGGUGGAAUAGAUUUGAAUCACUGUUAGUUGUUUCCUUAGUAAAUAUUCAGUUUCUGCCGCACCCAGGGGAACCGAGCCCUCUAAAAGUCAGGCAAGUGGGGAAGUAUAUUCAUUUUGUAGAUUAAUGACAUCAAUUGCCAUCGCAGGGAGUAGAACCAAAUCAAGAAGUUGUAGUUUUUUUUUUUUCCUUAGCAGAUGCUAAUUUAUUUAACAUGUUGAAGUGUCUGAGAAUUCAAAAUUAUCUUUGAAUAAACUGGUUUGUAGUUGUAACCCAGCUUCGUCACUUACUAGCUGAGACACUUAGGGAUUUUGCUUGGUUCCUUCUGAACCUCAGUUUCCUCAUCUGCAAAAAGGGUAAGGUUGUGGGGAUCCCAUCAACAGUUCCAUUUAACGUACCGGUAGGCAAACCUGGAGCAUCACAAACACUCUCUAAGUGGUGGCUAGUGUUUAAACAGUUUAUAAAAAUUUAAUUUAAGCAAGGAAAUCUCCUAUAUACUGAAAUCCUUGGAAAGCCAGAACAAAAACAAUGUGUUCAAAGUCUUCUGUUGGCAUUUGUGUAACAGCAUUUGGUGCACUCAUUGUUAUGCUAAUAGAUUGCUGGGAACCCUGGCUUGAUUUUCACUACAUAGGAGUGCUCCUUUUGAUUUAAAGAGUCAUGGUGAAGCUGAAAUGUGAUGAUGCAGAAUAAUGCUGAUUUGUAACAACGGGCUUGAGAUUUUACAGACAUGCUAAGUAAGGUAGGCCCAAGGCAAAUCCUCACUUGCCAGUUCAUUUUCUAGACCCAGCCCCUGGACCUGGUUCCCCAUGCUCUGCAGAAGCAACAGCCCUAGGAGCUGCACCUCAGGGACAUCUACAGGGCUGUCCAGUGCUACCUUACUUCUUCCUUCCUUUUAUUUUCCUAUUUCCCCUCUCCCUUCCACUGUCGUCUUUCCCCCCUUUUUACUAUAUUCUUUGUUUUCAUUAAUUCUUUAUUAUUCUCCAUCCCAAGUCUGAAGUUUGCCACAAAAAUCUGGAGACACUCUGCUACCAAUGAAGUGACAGAAAUGCUGGCAUUCAUAGCCUCUCGGGACAGCAUAGUUUAUUAAGUAAAGGUAGCCUAGGAGAGCUUGACCUUUCUAGAUGUCAGUCACCACACAGGCCUUUCGUGUGAAUUAAUCAUGGUUUCCAGUAAUUGCUGAGCUUAGAGUUGUGUUGCAAAUGAAACAUUUAUUUUUGGAAUUCUUCCUGAUGGACUAUGAAUACAGCAAAUGGUCAUUUGACCUACAUAGGGUGAUACCAAAAAAAAAAAAAAAAAGCAAGAAAAAGAAAAAGGAAGUAGCAGUGUCUGAUGCUCUAGGGUUAUGCAUUUCUUACUGCUCUUUGAGAAAAUGAAUGGAGAUACCAAUAGCACGAGCAUCACAAGAUGAAAGAGGGAAUAUUGUCUUCAAAGCAAUAGAACUGGUGCCAGAAACGCUCAUGCAGGGGCUAGCUCUACUGGAGGUGGGAGUGUUGCAGCUGGUGAGGACCAGAAAAUACUGCACAGAACAGCAGGUGCGAUGCCGAUGCCAGAGGACUGUGUGUGGGCACAGAGAGAAAGAGACAAAGCAGUUGCCAAGGGACAGGUGACUAGGAUUCAACCAGUCAUAAAAACAGAUCAACUUUCUUUUCCAAGCUUUUUCUUUACAAUACUGACUCUCUAGAUAUUGCUACCGUCAAAAUAAAGAGAAAAUUAUGAUGAAAGCAACGUUGAGAGAGCUUUUCAGAACGGAGCUGGAAGGCCGUGAAGGAGCAGGACUGACACAGGAUCUCAGCUGUUGCCUAGGAAUGUGAACUUUGGUUUUGUUUUGCUGCGUUUGACAGCAGACAUCUGGAAGGACUGAAUAGCUAGACGAUUACAUUGCUGUACCUAGAGGCUGGGGAAGCAGAUUUCACUUUAUAGUCAUUUCCAUUUGUGUAGACUUUCUCUUUGCGUUUUCUUCUAUGUGUCAUGUAGCUCCUGUUCCUUCUCAAUAUUCAGUGGCUUCCUCUUUUCCUGCUCUUUUCAGAAAACAAAGAGUAUGAUUCAGAGCUGUCUGGACCUGUGUCCCCUGAAUUGCAAUUCUUAAGGCCCCAAAUUAUUUUGUGCUUUGCAGUUUCUGAGGUCGAAUAACAAGUACCACAGAGCUGUCUUCUCAUGAUGAACUGUUCUCCUGAGCUCGCAGAAAUGCUAUUACAUACUUCCUUCUCUAGUUAGACUGGCAGCUAACCCCUCAUGCUAUUUCUUCAAGUUGUACAGUUCCAAAGCUAUAUUUACUCUCUUUGGACAAUGGGUAUUUAUGUGGCAAACAGAGACUUCUCCCUUUUGGACUGAAGUCAGAAUCUCCCUUACAUUGGCCUUGGGCUUCAACCGACAUUUCUGCCUUUCAUAGAACCCAAGACUUGUCUACUACAGUCUCCAGUUGUGAUUUUUGUACUUUUUAACAUUUGUAAAAAACUGGAAAUUGAUCAAGAUGUCAGAAUAAAUGAGAGUCCUCUUAGUGAUGCUUUUAUCCUUAGUGAUACGGCCCAUAAGACUGGGGCACUGUGGACAUGUCUUCCUUACCUCUUGCUUUAUGGACACCCCAGGGAGUGUGAGACUCUGGGAAAACUUGUUUUCUAUGGGUGCCUUGUUUAUGUGUGAUCAAAUAUAUGGUGAACAUUUAAAUAAAAAAAACAUAAUAGUAAAAAAAAUUGCCGUUAAUCCACUUCAAAAUACUCCCCCUUGCUUGGAACACAUUUAUCCCAUCCUUCUUGCCACUUUCCAAAGCAGCUCUGGAAGUUCUCUUUCAUGAAAGUCUUUAGGAGUGUGAUUAAAAAAAAACAACUACAGUGAAUGUUGCUGCUAAGUGCAAUCCAACAUAAAGACAUGAUUGUAAAAAUAUUAGGAUGUGUCGACAUCCAACUUGGUCACUGGGCCUCACAUCAUGUAGCUUCUGGCUAUUCCUCAAGGUCAAAAUAACCAUAAAAAGUAAAUGUUUUGAAUCAACUCAGGACAUGGAGGUAGCCAGAAUAAAGACACUGGUGAAAGAGGACUUCCAGAACUGCUUCAGGAAGUGGCAAGAAGGAUGGAAGAGUGUUUUUAAGUAAGUGAGCAGGAGUGUUUUAAGAAGGGUUAAUGGCAAUGUGUUUUUUACUGUGAAAAGUUUUUAAAAUUUAAACAUUUGCCAUAUUUUUUCUCGUGUAAGUAAUUUCAUGGAAAAAUACUUUGCAAAAUUUUGUAGACACAUGUGAGGCCUGGCAAUUUAUCACUAGGAUUUAGGUGAUAGAGAAAAAGGAGUGAUGUAUUUGUUUACUGUACAACCAGGGCACUUAAUAAUUCUUCAUAGUAUUCAGACACCGUCUCUUUCACUUCAGAUCCAGGAAUAAUCCCUUCAUAUUCUUUAUUGUCAAAUGUGCCAUCACCGUGUAAUUUCAUAUCUGUCACUGUGAGAAAAAGACAGCCAUGUUGUUAUCAUUCCAGCCCUGCAGACAGGUAAGCUCCCCCUGCCCAUAGACAUUUGUCUCAUGCUGCUACAUGGUCAGGAUGCACCAAUUAUCCUGCUAAGUGAAGUCUGGCUUCUGCUGCCUUUUUCAAAGAUCGUUCCUAUGUUUCUUUGAAGAUGACCACAAAUGCACAGAGUAUGCAGGAAAAUGCGAGCACUCAUUUAUUUUAUGGUCAUGUUAAAUUUACCCUUUGGAACUUUAUGGUAUAAAUAUAGAACAAUACAUCUUCUGACUGUUUUCUCUUGAAUUUUGUAGGCUGUAGUCACAGCAGUGCUGUAAUGUCUUCUCUUUCCAUGUUGACUGCUGCCGUGGGUUCCAUAUACUGUCUCCGGUGGGGCAGGGCAUGUAGGCGAUGUGAGAAGAAUAGUUCCAUUCAGGCAGGGAAUCCCCAACCCCCACCUGACUCCCCUCACCUGGGAGAGCACAGUCUCAACUCAUCAGAGGAAGAAUCGAUAUGAGUGGGUUGGAAAGACUAAGUCUCUUGGAAGAGACGGGGAACCAAGCCCCAAGAAAUGUUACCUAUGUUGCCGAACUUGCAGAGGGAGGGGGGUUGGGGACGAUCCAAAGGGGGUUCAGCAGGUAAAGAUUAGCUGCUACCAGGUGGAGUAGAUCAGAGAUGGCACCGCAGUGGCAGCAUGGUGGGAUGUGGAGGAUGCCAGGACCACAGUGCAGCUCACACUCAGGGGUCAGCUACGGACUGUUGGGAGGUGGGAGUCCUGAACUCCACCAGUGUCUAAGUGAAUGAGGAUUGCUCGAAAUCAGGGUGUCAGCCCCAUCUAGCAGCCCAGUCUCACACCACUCCAUGAAAGCAGCACUAUGCCAGUCAGCAGAAUCGAUCUGCUCACCAGGCUGCUUUCCUGGAACUGGAGUCCAUCCCCAGGGCCCAAGGAUGACCUUGCAGGCAUGACUUCUGGGGCUUUCUGGGCAUCUGUAGUCAGUUGGAGAAGUCUAAAGGAUACAAAAAGGGUCUGGGCACAUGCUUGCCCCUAACCAGGCUGAGGGAACCCAUUCAGACAGCACUAGCAACUCCUUCCGGGUCCAGGGAACAGAGGGUUUGGGAUAAAGGGCUUAGAAAACAUCAUGAAGAGAUGAGCAAUCAUGGGCUCCUGAAGCACUGAAGUUGAAACAGGAUCCUCCUUCCUCUCUUCCUCUCUCCCUCCCGCUCCCUCUCUCCCUUCAUCCCUGCUCCUCCUUUCUAUCCUUCCUUCCUUUUUCCUCUCUUCCAUCCUUCCCUCCUUCCACCAUACAGAUAAGUACAUUUCAUAUCCCACAUAUUAAGACAGUUUGAGACUAAAGAAAGAAGGGAUAGUAUUAGCUCGGUCUAGGGUGGGUGCUAGCCCUGGGACAGAUGGGGACACAGAUGCAAAGUGACAUAAAAUGACGCUCAACUUGUCUUUGGGUAUCUGUAGCUAAUGAGAAAAUUGUAUAAUGUAGGUAAAAUAAUGACAGUAGCUGUAGCUAUAUUUUGGAAAUAUUAGGGAAAAGUCUUUCUUUAUUUUGAUUUCUAAACUCUUAGUUUCCAGGAGAAUCCCAGCUGCCAAGUAGUUAUUAAAGUAGGCCCUGGGAAGAGAGUGUCUGGGUUUACCCUAGAUUUUCCACUCAUUGCGUGGAUGAUCUUAGACAAACUGUGUUACAUUUUGGUGACUCAGCUUCCUCAUUCAUAAAUGGAAAUAAUGACAGCACCUGUUAGCAAUGAGUUUGGCUGCAAGGAACAGAAAGUGUGGUGUAUAGUGGCUUAGACAAGAAGAUGUUGGAAAAGCAGGUGUGGUUGACCAGUAGUACAUUGAAGAAGUGAUUUUUUUUUUUUUUCCAGCUCUUGUUUGUGCCAUAGCUGGUGUGUCAUUUCACUUUCUAUUCAAGAAGAAGAGGAAAGACUUUGUAAAUAGGGAGGAAUGGAGGGGUUGAAGGGAGG